rnacentral:rRNA from 1 species
GAUGAACGCUGGCGGCGUGCUUAACACAUGCAAGUCGAACGAAGCACUUUAUUUGAUUUCCUUCGGGACUGAUUAUUUUGUGACUGAGUGGCGGACGGGUGAGUAACGCGUGGGUAACCUGCCUUGUACAGGGGGAUAACAGUUGGAAACGGCUGCUAAUACCGCAUAAGCGCACAGCAUCGCAUGAUGCAGUGUGAAAAACUCCGGUGGUAUAAGAUGGACCCGCGUUGGAUUAGCUAGUUGGUGAGGUAACGGCCCACCAAGGCGACGAUCCAUAGCCGACCAGAGAGGGUGACCGGACACAUUGGGACUGAGACACAGCCCAGACUCCUACGGGAGGCAGCAGUGGGGAAUAUUGCAAAAUGGGCGAAAGCCUGAUGCAGCGACGCCGCGUGAGCGAAGAAGUAUUUCGGGAUGUAAAGCUCUAUCAGCAGGGAAGAUAAUGACGGUACCUGACUAAGAAGCACCGGCUAAAUACGUG